CUCAACACAUCUCCCCGCGGGCCUGGCUUUGCAAACAGGAGAGCCAGUCCCAUCUGGAGCAGGGGAGCAGUGGCGCGCAGCCUUUGGACUCGCCGACCAGUGCGUUCGGUCCAGUUGGAGGUACCUCCUGCAGGUUACCAGAGGUGCCACCCUUCACAAGCCCCUAACUUGGCCAAGUCUCAGAGGACUCAUAAGGUUAACAUAGCAACUGGACGUCGUCUGGCACAUGAUCUCUCCUCGUCUCCUUGCCUUCCAUCUCCAGUGAAGAAGCCACAGUUAAAAGAUGACUUCAGGAAGGAGAUGGCUUCCCUGUGACUAAUGGCGGUCUCUCCAUCCUGUGCUCUUUCCCUGCGGCCUCUGGUAACCAGUGGAUAAGAAUAGGGCUGGCUACAGGAGGCCAGAACCCUAAAGGCAGCUGCAGACAACUCCAACCAGGCUAUUUCCUUUUCCUAUGGAAUUUGGAGAGAAACCAAGCUAAUAAGGGAAAAGGCCAGAAGAAUAAAAUAUAGAGAGACUGAAGCUUGUGUGAUAAACUUGGGACAUCUGCAUAACUGAGACAGAAGACUGGACAAAGACUGUGUACCUUCCGUGACUGGGGGAGGAGUUAUCUUAUGGAGCUGGGAUGGGGUGAACAAAACAUCACCUUUUCAUUGGAUUUUUUUUACUAUAUUUAUUUAAUAGAGGCAGCCGUGUGUGUGUGUGUGUGUGUGUGUGUGUGUGUGUCCACCCAAUGUUGCACAAACAUGGCGUACAAGUGGGGUAAGAGGACAAUUUGCCUAAGUCUCAGACAUUCAACUCAAGGCAGCAAGCACCUUUACCUGAUGGGCCAUCUUGUCCACCCCAACCUUCAAAAUACAUAAUAUAUAAUACGCUAUGCCAAGUGUUACUAACACAAGAUUCUCUGUAAUCUUUACAUUAAUCCUGUAAGAUGAGCUUACUCCUCCCCACAUUACAGAAGAGAAUCUGGAGUCUUAACAAAGGUUAAGUAGGCUGCUCAGAGAGAGCUACACAGUGAGUACAGGAUUUGGGAACAGAUCUGUACUACGUAGCAAUAAUAUUUCCCCUGUCAAAUACAUGCUCACUAGCAAACCAUCUUGGAAAUGGAGAGAACAUUUCUGUCUUUUAUGUGAAAAAAAUGAGGCACGAACCACCUUGAUGUGAUCUCUAGAAAAUGACAGUUGUGUCUUGGGUCCUGUGUUCAUUGUAUCAAUCCAUCCGUAGCAAAUGGGCACUUUUUCGAUUGUAUGGUCAUGGUACUCUCAAGAAUCAGAAGACGCAUCACUCUGUAGGGGAUGCCCCUGGAAAAAGACCUCACCAAGCCAAUCACCCAAAAGGUCAGAGUCCCAGAAGGAUACCAAGAAAUCACAGAGUUUCCAGCCGUGGGGGGCGGGGAUUUCCAAAAACUACAUUUCCCUUGCACUGACUCUCUCAAAGUUAUGCUCAAGAGUUCUGUUUAGCCUGUGCAGAAAUACACAGUAAGAUUAGAAGGAUGACAGUAACAAGAGUGUACACUGAAUCCAACACUUGGGAACUCGGGCACCACUAGAAGUGCUUUGUGUCUGAUUUACUUACUUAAGCAUGAGUCAUGCUAGGAAGUCAUCACCUCUGUUUUGUACGUGAGGAAGUGAGGCUCAGAGAGGUGAAGUCAUUUGUCCACUGUGACAGAGUUAAUGAGGACAGAGCUGGGAUUUAAACUUAGGGAGUCUCACUCCUGAAGCACUACUUAAGGCUUGCCAAGUUAUGGGUACAUUUGCACGCUCGUGAGCACACACACACACACACACACACACACGUGCAUACACACAUGCGCACACAUAGGCACACACAAACACACCUCCUUCUACCAAAUAACUGUAAUAAGGAAGGUCCUUGAAGUACCUUCCAGAACGCACCAUAGGGACUCUCUGAGUCAGUGCCCAUAUCUGAGGGAAGGAUACUCCAGGACCAUCCACACUCUGAAAAUGGACCUUGCCCCGGGGAACUUGGCUCCUUCUGUCUGCCCACCUCUCUGCCAGCAUCACCAGCUGCCCCUUGUCAGCCCAGCACAAAGGAAGGCCAGAUUGGCUGGGGGAGGGGCAGUAGGGCUGCUCUAUCCCUCUUGCCAAGUAGGGAACUUCUCUUCCCUUCUCCCCUCCUCCUGGGAGCUCCCAUCUAGCCUGUAUCACCAGCUCUUUGGGCUUUUGGCCAGCUCUUUGGGCUUUGAGGGAAACAGGAGUCAGUCCCAAUGACCAUGCCCGUUCAUUCAACUGGGAGCAGUUUCUCUGACUCUGAGCAGAGAAUACUGUUGUGCUUCCACAGAAAUCCAUCCCUGUCAGAGACCGGGUCAGAAAAGGACACAUCACCUCAGGAGGAUGGAGAUGGCUUCUGUUCUCUUCUCUUUCCCCACUGUGUGUCAUGGCCCAUUGCUGAAGAAAUAGAGACAAAGUAGGCGAUGGGAAAAGACACUGCCCAAGGCAGUGGAUAAAUGUAAGCCUAGAGCUCUGCAGGCUCACAGCCCUGUCCAGAGAAUGUCACUAAGUCUGAAGCUAAUUCUCUCCUCUAGGCCCCAGGUUCUCGCCUCUAACCUGAGGUAUCUAGGUUGAGUGGGGCCUGUGGGGUCCCUUCCACAUGGUUUAAGGCAGAGAGACUCCUCGGCUGGGCAUUUCCCCAUGGAGAGAAUUGGGAGGGACCGUAAGUGGCUAUUUAAUACUCCAAGCUCUCAUUUCUGAAGCCUCUCCACCACUGAGGUGACAUCGAGACCACCUCCAGGGAUUUCCGAGUAAGAAGUAUCCUGGUCUGGCAUCACAAUCUGUCAGUUGAGUUCUAUUUGCUUCAAACCUUAGCUAGGAUUAGACCUGCGUGGUCAGGGCUGUGCCUCUGAUCUACAUACACCUCAAACCUGGGGCGGGUCUUCCUUGACUCUCAUCUUUUGAACAAUGCAAAGCAAGAAAGUAAUCAAAGCAGAUAGAUGGUCAGGUAGUUUAGCUCAAUUAAGUCUUGUCCUAGGAUACAUGGCCCAGUACAAAUGGAUCAGAGCGCAGCCCAUGUCUGGCUCGAGUUCUCCUAGGCCACAGCUACUGAGAAUAGCAGCUGCUUUAAAGGCUAGUUCCCUUGUAGCGUGUUUACAAAAGCCUUUCCAUGACCCUUAUUUCCUCAAGCCUAAAAGAAAUAAGACAAGAUUUAAAAGACAUCAGGUUGGGGCCAUGUACUUGCUCCUAAGAAACAACAUUAAAAAAAAAAAAAAAAGCCAGGCAUAGUUGUACCUGCUUAUAAUCCCACCUCUCGGGCGGUGGAGACAGGUAUCUCACAUUUAAAUGCUUUUAAUGAGCCAAGAG